rnacentral:tRNA from 1 species
GCCCUGGUAGCUCAGUGGUAGAGCACAGCUUUCGUAAAGCUGGGGUCGUCGGUUCAAAUCCGACCCGGGGCUCCA